AUGCAAUAGGUCUACUAUAUUUGUUGUAUGGAACGAUUGUAAGGUGUACAUGUCUAGCGGGCAGAUGUCAUGUGACCUUGACCUCAUUUUCAUGGUUCAGUGGUCAAAGUUAAAUUUUUGUGUUUUGGUCUGUUUUUCUCAUACUAUAUGCAAUAUGUCUACUAUAUUUGUUGUAUGGAACGAUUGUAAGGUGUACAUGUCUAGCGGGCAGAUGUCAUGUGACCUUGACCUCAUUUUCAUGGUUCAGUGGUCAAAGUUAAAUUUUUGAGUUUUGGUCUUUUUAUCUAAUACUAUAUGCCAUAGGUCAACUAUAUUUGGUGUAUGGAAAUAUUUUAUGAUCUUUAUGUCAGUCGCACAGGUUUUAUUUGAGCGUACUCUCAUUUUCACGGUUCAUUGCACAGUGUUAAGUUUUUGUGUUUUGGUCUAUUUUUCUUAAACUAUAAGUAAUAGGUCAACUAUAUAUGUUGUAUAGAAGCAUUGUUAGCUGUACAUGUCUGCCUGGCAUGGUUCAUCUGACCUUGACCUCAUUUUCAAGGUUCAUUGGUCUAUGUUUAGUUAUCUUGGUUAAUGUUAAGUUUAUGUGACAGUUGUUAUAAAGAUUAGCUUGAUACUAAGGACUAUCAACAUAAUAUCAAUGAUUAGUAUAGAAGGCGAGACAUUUCAGCGUGUGCACUCUUGUUACAUUUUG
rnacentral:lncRNA from 1 species